CUCUACAAAUCUUCGAAUAACUAACCCCAGAAAACUACUGCUGAGCGGCUUCUCCUCUUCUUCCUUCCCUCCACGAGCUUAGCUCCGCCACCACCCUCUUCUUUAAGAAGCAACAGGAAGGAAAACGAACCACACCACUAUUGUCAGUCCCAGAGAAGAAGAAAUCAAACACUCAUAUUUAUUAUUACGAUUAUAUAGUUUUGGUGUCAGAUCCUAUCAAAUUUUGAUCAAAAUCACGACUUAAAGUGCUAUUUAUAGAGGUCAUACUUUACUGAUUUGGAUGGACUGAUAUGUAUAGUUGAGGUAAAUAAGAAUAUGGGUGGAGCAGUUUUGUGCCACAAAAGGAUUUCAAUGUACAUCGGCAGUAGACCCUUUGGUUUCCACAUUUUACUUUAAAAAUGGUUCAGGAAUUAUAUAACACAAACCCUGUUGUUUAUGAAAGAAAGGAACGCUGCAGACGUUACUUGGUAGUGCCUGCUGAUGUUGAUGAACACUCUAUUGACCCUAUCGAUCAACUAGAAGUUU